CCUACGGGAGGCAGCAGUCGAGAAUCAUUCACAAUGGGGGAAACCCUGAUGGUGCGACGCCGCGUGGGGGAAUGAAGGUCUUCGGAUUGUAAACCCCUGUCAUGUGGGAGCAAAUUAAAAAGAUAGUACCACAAGAGGAAGAGACGGCUAACUCUGUGCCAGCAGCCGCGGUAAUACAGAGGUCUCAAGCGUUGUUCGGAAUCACGGGGCGUAAGGGGAGCGUAGGCUGUUUCGUAAGUCGUGUUAGAAAGGCGCGGGCUCAACCCGCGGACGGCACAUGAUACUGCGAGACUAGAGUAAUGGAGGGGGAACCGGAAUGCUCGGUGUAGCAGUGAAAUGCGUAGAUAUCGAGAGGAACACUCGUGGCGAAGGCGGGUUCCUGGACAUUAACUGACGCUGAGGCACGAAGGCCAGGGGAGCGAAAGGGAUUAGAUACCCUGGUAGUC
rnacentral:rRNA from 1 species